GACAGAAAAAGGAUGGAGUAAUUCACCGUCAAGUAUAUAAAAUAGGUGAAGUAGACUUUCCACUUCAUUUUUAUGCAAUGCAAACACCCGUCCUCUGCCUCCGACAAGACUCUUUAUUUUCUUCGUAGUUAUGGUACUUGUUCUUGCUGCGAGGAGAGGAUGCCAAGUGGUGACUGCUCCAAUUGUUGAUGUCCGUACCUGGGGAGAUGAAUCGUGAAUGCUUUCUUUCGUCGUUUGGAUUUUCUUCUUCUCAGAAAACUUUGAGUGAGUAAUGGAAUGUGGAUGCAGAAUGCAAUUGAAAACUCAUAUCAGAAUGGAAUGAAUUUUCAGGCCCAGAUUUCGUGUGAUUUUUUUUCACAUUUUUCGGGUGGAGAGGUUCUGAAAACGAGAAUUUCGUGACGAUAGCUCCAGCCGUUUCCAAAUAAAUCUUAUGUAACAGACAGGCAGGCACACUUUGAACCGAUUUGGAUAAGAUUUUAUCUUACUCAUAACCUUAAAAUACAAUAUUUUAUGAAACAACUCGCCGACAAGCUUAUAGUUGGAUUACCAACAGAACCCCGCAGCAGUUGGAGAUGAUCUCCUCGAAAAAGCACCCAGCUGGAUACUGGAGAAGUUCGAAUUCACAGAAGCUUGUUUGAAGUGUUUCCGAUAUGUUUUGCAAUUCAAAAUAACUAAUAAAGGGGUGAACAGGGAAAGCAAGAAACCCAUACAGAAUACAACUGAUGACAUUACGCGAAUAAUAUUCGUUGCUAGUCAGAACGGUUUGCUUUGCGAAUAGAAGGAAAUAUGAGGAUCCAAUUUAGUCACAGUUCUAUUAGCUGCUAUGCAACGUGUAUUUUUAAUGAGAAACCGUUGCUGCUGGUCUGCGGCAAUGUGCACCAAAAGAUCCUUCAAUGCGACAUCGAUUAUGAGCUUAGCGCACCGUACCGCCAUUGCAUUGCCCCCCAAAUAUGAACUCAAUCGAAACUAAUGAACAUAAAGUCAAUAGUGCUCAAGAGGCACUUUACCUAAUUUUCAUUUCCAAUUUGAUUAAUGGCUGGAUUACCAUACCAAGUGGGUCUAAGGGAGGAUUGAUUUUAUCUUAAUGCAUGUCGUUUGUGCUUGGCCACUGCGGCUAGGGUGUGGUAUCGUUUUGCGGGCAUGUAACUUUACACUUUUGUGCUACGUGAAUGUGCAUGAAUUGAUUCCACUUAACGUGUCCUUUGCAGCUUUGCAGAAUCUCCAAUCUGAUUUGUGCAUAUAUGCUGAAUUCACUCGAUGUGAUUCGUUCUCGUUCUUUACAUGGUGCUCAUCCUUCUAGAUCUAUAAAUAGCCUGAAUGCACUCUAAUAAAAGAUGCAUUCACAGUGCUAGCGGAAGUGGAAAGAUAUAAUGCUGCUUAAAAUAGAAUAAUGGCGGAACGCGAUGAAGACGUGUAUUUUUGUUGAAGCCUUUCCGAGUGUUUGUAUCUACAACCUGCUGGUUAGAUGGGUGACAGAUAGUAGUUAGACAUGUGUAUACUAGCUUCACCAUUCAGUUUUCCUAUUGCAAUGGGAAAGCUGGCACUGUUCCAAAAGCUUUUACCAAUGAAUGUUGCUUAUAAUUAGAUUCAUUUAAGGAGGAAUUUGAAAGGAUUCCAGACACUUUGCAGAAAGAUUACCCUUGCUGAGCCCACAUUGGGCGCGAUAAUCUAAAACAAACUUCUCCUUCUUGCUAGCAUCAUAUCCUUACUAAAAGACUAUUUUUUCGGCUGCUAGUUAAUCUCUCAGGGCAUCCCUUUUCCAUUUUGGGCGCCUCCCUCUUCAAUGGGUUCCUACUAUGGCCUCAAGUAGUUUUUCUCGAGUGCGUUGUUUUUGUGCAUUUGAUGCAUGUGCAUCAGGUGAUUUACAUGGAGUUAAUGUCAAAUAAAUCUGUUUCUUCCUGUAUACGAGAACAUUUCACUUAGUUUCAUUUAAUCUAGGAGUAUUACGGAAAGAGUCAAUAUUCACAAGGUUGAUUUAUGGUUUACUUUAUUAGAUCGAUCUGUCUUUUCUGAAGUCGAACUGGUAACCUCCAAUAAUACUUUCUGUUAUCGAGUUCUUCGAUGGUAAGGCUAGCAUGCGCAAAUCCACGGUUUUGUAAUUAUUGAAUUCUUGUUUUGCAGUUCUCCUUCCUGUGGGUUAUAUAAGGCAUACUUUCCAUCCUUGGGGUCUUUUUCUUUGUCCCAUAUUUUACGCAUUGAUCUCUUUAACUAUUUUUUGGACCCGUCUCCUGGAUAGUUUAUAUCUGCUGACUUUCACUUUUCCAUUUUCAUUACAACCUUCCUAAUUUUUCCCAGGUUCACCUACCUAAACGACCUACAUUUUGGCUUUAUUUGAUUAUAUUUUAUAUUUUCCCCGCAAUUGUCCCAGAUGUGUCCAGUAAUUAAUUUCAGCCGACAUUACUUCAAUCUCUCCGUAAUUAUAUACACUGUACUGGACGAAAGUUAAUC